rnacentral:tRNA from 1 species
CCUUAGCUCAGUUGGUAGAGCACAGCAUUCGUAAUGCUGGGGUCGCAGGUUCGAGUCCUGCAGGCGGCACCA